rnacentral:rRNA from 1 species
GACAUGGCUCAGGAUGAACGCUAGCUGCAGGCUUAACACAUGCAAGUCGAGGGGCAGCAUGGUCUUAGCUUGCUAAGGCUGAUGGAGACCGGCGCACGGGUGAGUAACACGUAUCCAACCUGCCGUCUACUCUUGGCCAGCCUUCUGAAAGGAAGAUUAAUCCAGGAUGGGAUCAUGAGUUCACAUGUCCGCAUGAUUAAAGGUAUUUUCCGGUAGACGAUGGGGA